UAUUGGAAAUCAUGCCCUCACUCAGCUCCUGGGCCUGGUUGGCAAGAAAACCCCAGUAGAUGCUGAGACAGGGCCAAAAGCCCAGUGAAGACACACACGACAGGCACCUGAUUAUGCUUGAGUAAUGUGACUGGCUUCUGAGAGAGGUGGCUUUGCAAAUGAGUCUUGGAGGAUAAGGACAGGUGGUGCUGAUGAGCUACUCUCGACCACAAAGAUGAGGCCAACUGGAGCAGGCACCUUAGACCAAUGUGGGGCCAGCUGGGAACCUGGGUGAUCUCAUGGAGUGGAGCCCAACUUUCUGCCCUAGACUGGUGAGGCGGUCCCUGGGUGACCAUUUCUACCCUUACACCUUCUGAUGAACACCAAUAAAAGCCUGGAGAAAAGGCAUCACUCAUUCAGUCUCAUGGGUUCUGCCCGAGAACAGCAACGUGCAAGCACGACUUCUCUAUGAUCCUUGAAAUCCUCUAUGGUACCACAGAUCGCCGACUUUGAGAUUUUAAAUCUGUGGUCUUCAAAUCUGAGUACCAACCCAUGAGUGGACAGAGUGCACCCUCACCUCUGCCCACUCUUGGCCUCCAGAGUUGCUUCACGCUCGCCUCCCAAACAGAGGAAGCUUCCAUCAAAACAAUUAGGAGACCCCAGGCAGCUGUCUUCUGGAAACCUCCGUCCAACAGCAGCAGUUCUCCACCCACCAGGCCACUCCCAGCAUCCAAAUGGUUUCCAAAGGUGCAGUCAGGUUAGUACACCUUGACUCUGCUCUUGGGUAAGGCUAGGUCCUGGCAUGACAGUGUGACCCAAGCUGAGCCCAUCAGAG
rnacentral:lncRNA from 1 species